UGACAGAGUUGCUGAGGCUGGCUUUGAACUUGUUAUCCUCCUGCCUCAGCUUCUUUUUUUAAAAUAUUGUUUUAGUUGUCAAUGGACCUUUAUUUUAUUAAUUUAUAUGCGGUGCUGAGAAUUGAACCCAGUGCUUCAUACAUGCUAGGCAAGUACAGUACCACUGAGCCACAACCCCAGCCCCAUUCCUUAGCUUGAGCUGCUGGGAUUCCAGGUGUGUGCCACUACACCCAACAGGAAUAAUUAAAUGACUUUUAGUAUAUUCAUAGCACUAUGCUGUUACAUAAUCACUAUAAAUGUUUCAUCAACUCAGAAAGAAACCCCAUACAUGUUCCCUGUCAUUCCUCAUUUUCUCCAGCUGUAGGCAAACACUAAUGUACAUUCUUUAUAGAUUUGACAAUUUUGGACAUAUAAAUGGAGUCAUACAAUAUGUGGUCUUUAUGACUGGUUCUUUCAGUUGGCAUGUUUUCAAAGUUUAUCCAUGUUGUAUGGAUGAACAUACAUCAGUACUUCAUUUAUCUUUAUUAGCAAAAAAUAUUCCAUUGUAUAGGUAUACUACAUUUUAUUUAUGAGUUUGUGGACUUGGUAUUUUAAAUGAAUUCUAUACAGAAUAUAUGUGUCCAAAACAAAAUAUUCUCCAUCUUCAUACUACUAUCAGUAGUAAAUGAUGCCAUCAUUCCCCCAAGUUGUUCAGGCCAAAAGCUGAAAUCAUCCUCAACUCUCACUACAGCAAAUUCACAUCCCUAGCCCUAUUUUGUAUUUUAUUUAGAGACAGGGUCUCACUGAGUUGCUUUGUGCGCCAUUGCUGAGGCUGGCUUUGAACUUGUGAUUCUCCUGUCAGCCUCCCAAGCCAUGAGAUUACAGGGGUGUGCCACUGUGCCCAGUGAUUUUGCAUUCAUUUUCAACCUUCUGCAUACAUAUUACAUCCUGGUCCAAGCCACUAUCAUCUAUCUCCUGAACUAUUGCAAAGGACUAUUUGGUUUUCUACAACAGCCAAAGUGAUUGUUUUAAUAUCUAAUUCAUCUGUGUCACUACCCUCCUCAGCACCCUCUCCUGGCUGCUCAUCACACAAGAA
rnacentral:lncRNA from 1 species